GGGGGAUAUUGCACAAUGGAGGAAACUCUGAUGCAGCAACGCCGCGUGAGGGAAGACGGUUUUCGGAUUGUAAACCUCUGUCCUUGGUGACGAAACAAAUGACGGUAGCCAAGGAGGAAGCUCCGGCUAACUACGUGCCAGCAGCCGCGGUAAUACGUAGGUGGCGAGCGUUGUCCGGAAUUACUGGGUGUAAAGGGCGUGUAGGCGGGAAUGUAAGUCAGAUGUGAAAUCCCAGGGCUUAACUCUGGAGCUGCAUCUGAAACUAUGUUUCUUGAGUGUCGGAGAGGAAAGCGGAAUUCCUAGUGUAGCGGUGAAAUGCGUAGAUAUUAGGAGGAACACCAGUGGCGAAGGCGGCUUUCUGGACGAUAACUGACGCUGAGGCGCGAAAGCGUGGGGAGCAAACA
rnacentral:rRNA from 1 species